GAUGAACGCUGGCGGCGUGCUUAACACAUGCAAGUCGAACGAAGCAUUUAGGACAGAUUACUUCGGUUUGAAGUUCUUUAUGACCGAGUGGCGGACGGGUGAGUAACGCGUGGGUAACCUGCCUUGUACUGGGGGAUAGCAGCUGGAAACGGCUGGUAAUACCGCAUAAGCGCACAAUGUUGCAUGACAUGGUGUGAAAAACUCCGGUGGUAUAAGAUGGACCCGCGUCUGAUUAGCUAGUUGGUGAGAUAACAGCCCACCAAGGCGACGAUCAGUAGCCGACCUGAGAGGGUGACCGGCCACAUUGGGACUGAGACACGGCCCAGACUCCUACGGGAGGCAGCAGUGGGGAAUAUUGCACAAUGGAGGAAACUCUGAUGCAGCGACGCCGCGUGAGUGAAGAAGUAAUUCGUUAUGUAAAGCUCUAUCAGCAGGGAAGAUAGUGACGGUACCUGACGAAGAAGCUCCGGCUAAAUACGUG
rnacentral:rRNA from 1 species